rnacentral:lncRNA from 1 species
UGGAUAAUUUCUGCUGUAUUGGCAUAUUCCCCAAUACAUGCGCCUUUGAGUCAGCUCGGGUCGUUCCAUUGAUUUCCUCCUUUUGGAAUUCUACUCCCCAAGCUUUGAGUCAUGACCUGCUCACGCAUUUUAUUCCUCUUUUAUCCCCAUAAGAGUCUUAGAGUCUCUGUCCCAUGGACUGAAUUACUCGUAUGGAUUGUCAGUUUCUCUUGACCUCUUCUC